rnacentral:RNase_P_RNA from 1 species
UGGGUUGGUCGGUUGAUUGCUUUUUAUUAAAAGAGGAAAGUCCGAACUCCGCAGAAUAAAGUGCCUCAUAAUAAGAGGAUCUCGAUUAGAGAAUGGAAAGUGCCACAGAAAAUAUACCGCCAUUUAUGGUAAGGGUGAAAAAGUAGUGUAAGAGACUACUAUCUGCUUUUGAAAAAAAGUAUAUUGGUAAACCCCACUUGGAGCAAGAUCAAGUAGUCCUGUGUUAUUCGCACAUUAAGGACGGGUAGAUCGCAUUAGUAUAUUAGUGAUAAUAUACAUAGAUGAAUAAUCAACGCUAUUUUUAUAGUACAGAAUUCGGCUUAUAGGCCAACCCAUUUU